rnacentral:rRNA from 1 species
UACGUAGGGUGCGAGCGUUAAUCGGAAUUACUGGGCGUAAAGCGUGCGUAGGCGGUUCUCCAAGUCCGUUGUGAAAGCCCCGGGCUCAACCUGGGAAUGGCAGUGGAAACUAGGGGACUGGAAUCUGGCAGAGGGGGGUGGAAUGCCGCGUGUAGCAGUGAAAUGCGUAGAGAUGCGGCGGAACACCGAUGGCGAAGGCAGCCCCCUGGGCUGAGAUUGACGCUCAGGCACGAAAGCGUGGGGAGUAAACAGG